rnacentral:ncRNA from 1 species
CCCUAAAAAGUCCUUUAAACACAAAGGUUUGGUCCUGGCCUUGAAGUCAGUUAUUACUUAAUAUACACAUGCAAGUAUCCGCUCCCCUGUGAAAACGCCCUUAAACCCCUUUUAGGGACAAGGAGCUGGUAUCAGGCACGAAAAUCUGCCCAAGACACCUAGCUAUGCCACACCCACAAGGGAAUUCAGCAGUGAUUAACAUUGAGAAUAAGCGAAAGCUUGACUCAGUUAAAGUAAGAUAGAGCCGGCUAAUCUGGUGCCAGCCGCCGCGGUUACACCACGUGGCUCAAAUUGACCCCCUACGGCGUAAAGCGUGAUUAAAGUUUUUAUUUUCUAGAGUUAAACUAAAAUUAAGCUGUGACACGCCUGUUUAUUAAGAAACCCAAAAACGAAAGUUACUCUAACACAACCAACUUGAAUUCACGACAGCUGGGAAACAAACUGGGAUUAGAUACCCCACUAUGCCCAGCAGUAAACUUUUAUUUACAUUUAAAUCGCCAGGGAACUACGAGCUAAGCUUAAAACCCAAAGGACUUGACGGUACCCCAUAUCCCCCUAGAGGAGCCUGUCCUAUAAUCGAUAAUCCACGUUUAACCUCACCAUUUCUAGUUACUCAGCCUGUAUACCUCCGUCGUCAGCUUACCACGUGAGCGAUAAUUAGUGAGCCUAAUGCUUUUUCACCAACACGUCAGGUCAAGGUGCAGCAAAUGAAAUGGGAAGAGAUGGGCUACACUUUCUACAUUAGAAAAAACGAAAAACUAUUUAUGAAAUCUAGUUGGAAGGCGGAUUUAGCAGUAAAAAGGAAUCAGAAUGUCCAUUUUAACCCGGCACUGGGGUGUGUACACACCGCCCGUCACCCUCUUCAAAGCUUCUAACCUAGUCCUUAACAAACUAAAGCACGACAGAAGAGGCAAGUCGUAACAUGGUAAGUAUACCGGAAGGUGUGCUUGGAAA